GGUACAGGGAGACUCCUCUGUGUUUGUCUGACAGAAGAACAUCAGCUUCAUCCAUCACAGACUCGAGGCUGGACCGCCUGACUUUAACAGGAAUCUGUAGCCUCAGUGCUCCACGCCAGCAGGUGGCGCCAACGCACCGGUAUCACGCCCUUUCACCUCCGACAGCGAAGAAGAAGUGGUGGAGUAAAAGAAGAAGAAGGGAGCGCAGAGCUGGAGUUAGCAGGGUGUCAUCGAGGUCUGUUGCCAUGGAGGACCAUGCUGACGUUGCCAUGGAGAACAAGACAGAGGUCCCAGCCUCCGACGCCCCGUCCUCUCCUGACAAAGAGCCGGCAAAGCCCGCUGCGCGUCAGCCACACCGCCGCACCUUAGGAAGGCGGGGCCAGAGAGCAAAGAGGCGGGGUCAUAUAGAGAAAAAGCGGGGUCAGAAAUCGAAGAGGCGGGGCCAGGAGGACAAGAAGGAGGGCGUGACGGUGAAGAGGACGUGGAGCGGCGGGAAGCGCCGUUGGGACAAGAAGCAUUACUGCGUGUUCUGCCGACGGCCACAGGUGAAGAUCGCACGCCACCUGCUGAGGAAGCAUGCCGACGAACAGGAAGUACUGGCUGCCAGCACCCUGCCGACAGGCUCCAAAGAACGCCACCUGCUGCUGGAGCACCUGCGCUGCCGAGGCAACUAUCUACACAACAUCGAGAUGCGGUUUAAGUCAACUUUGGUUGGAGAGACAAAACCAUCAAGAAAAGAAGAUCCAAACUAUGCUUCACAUAAACAUCGUCAUGAAUUCCCUCUUUGGGGACUUUGGCUGUUUUGCUGCCACCACGAUAAAAUCCCACUUCAUGCACAGCUCUCUCUCU
ensembl:lncRNA